rnacentral:rRNA from 1 species
AGGGUGACAGGUGGUGCAUGGUUGUCGUCAGCUCGUGUCGUGAGAUGUUGGGUUAAGUCCCGCAACGAGCGCAACCCUCGACCUUAGUUGCCAGCAUUCAGUUGGGCACUCUAGCGAGACUGCCGGUAAUAAACCGGAGGAAGGUGGGGAUGACGUCAAAUCAUCAUGCCCCUUAUGACCUGGGCUACACACGUGCUACAAUGGUUGGUACAACGAGUUGCGAGUCGGUGACGGCGAGCUAAUCUCUUAAAGCCAAUCUCAGUUCGGAUUGUAGGCUGCAACUCGCCUACAUGAAGUCGGAAUCGCUAGUAAUCGCGGAUCAGCACGCCGCGGUGAAUACGUUCCCGGGCCUU